GACUCUUAAAUUUAAUUACAGCAGCGUUUUGAUGUGUCACGAACUAUUCAGUUUGCAUUUCCAAAAUUAAAUAAACUUAAAUAUCUAUACCUAAAAAAAUACCUCACCAAAUACUUAUCAGUUAUCACAAGGGUUCAGACUUGAUGCACUUAAAAACAUCAAGUCUUGAAAAAAAGCAUGCCAAGCAAAUAUUAUUAGACGAAAUCAUAAUAUUUAAAUGUCCCGCCUAAAGCCUAAAUUACUAAAUACAAUUUUUUAACACUACACAAAUUAU